CUUGAUCGAGCCCAGCCACAACGGGGUGCCCCGGUCCUGGCCAUAGGUCGCGAGCAGCGCCUGCGCCUC
rnacentral:antisense_RNA from 1 species